GGAAAAACAGGGCCGCACAGGAGCUCACCCCAAAAAGGGUCAAGGUAUAGCAGAAAAUUUAGGCCUGACUUCCUCCUGAUGACUGAACUUCCUCAUGUCCUCAACUGUAUGAUAUUGUCAGCCAAGUUCUGGCCUCAUGCGCAAAGGAAGCAUCCAAGAGCGCUGGCAUUCCUGUAGUAUUCAACAGGCUGUUCCAGCGUGAAAAGAAACAAGUUGAAGUAAUAGAGGCUGCCAGGUGGUGGUGGCACCCAUUCCACUGUAAUGACAGCCAUGACUUAAGGUUUUGUCUCGCUCUCCUCUGCCUCAGAAUUGCAAAUCUUCAGGUUGCCACAGCAACUCUAUAUACUGACAGAAGCCUUGUGGCAGCAGCGGGAUAAUGCUGACAUCCACCUCCUGCACACACCCUGGUUUUGCUGCUGAUUCUGGAAACUGACAGGGCAAGCAUUAUUUUCCAACAGAUGUUCUACAGGCAGUAGAAAGAAGCAACGAAACUAAUCAGUCAGAGCUGUUCUCGGAGGUUUGGGAGGGGUGAAAAGAAAAGGAAGGAAAGAAGAAGGAACAACCACAGAUAGGCCUUGUUUCUCAUUUAUUUUCAUUGCUCUAGAAAAAUUUAUAGGCAAGUGCCACUCACA